rnacentral:rRNA from 1 species
GUUUAAUACGCCUUAUCUGUGACGUUACCUACAGAAGAAGGACCGGCUAACUCCGUGCCAGCAGCCGCGGUAAUACGGAGGGUCCGAGCGUUAAUCGGAAUUACUGGGCGUAAAGCGUGCGCAGGCGGUUUGUUAAGCGAGAUGUGAAAGCCCUGGGCUCAACCUAGGAAUAGCAUUUCGAACUGGCGAACUAGAGUCUUGUAGAGGGGGGUAGAAUUCCAGGUGUAGCGGUGAAAUGCGUAGAGAUCUGGAGGAAUACCGGUGGCGAAGGCGGCCCCCUGGACAAAGACUGACGCUCAUGCACGAAAGCGUGGGGAGCAAACAGGAUUAGAUACCCUGGUAGUCCACGCCGUAAACGAUGUCUACUCGGAGUUUGGUGUCUUGAACACUGGGCUCUCAAGCUAACGCAUUAAGUAGA